rnacentral:rRNA from 1 species
GACGAACGCUGGCGGCGUGCCUAAUACAUGCAAGUCGAACGCUUCUUUUCUACCGAGUGCUUGCACUCAAUUGAAAAGAGGAGUGGCGGACGGGUGAGUAACACGUGGGUAACCUGCCCAUCAGAGGGGGAUAACACUUGGAAACAGGUGCUAAUACCGCAUAAUAGUCAACACCGCAUGGUGGAGAUUUGAAAGACGCUUUCGGGUGUCGCUGAUGGAUGGACCCGCGGUGCAUUAGCUAGUUGGUGAGGUAACGGCUCACCAAGGCGAUGAUGCAUAGCCGACCUGAGAGGGUGAUCGGCCACACUGGGACUGAGACACGGCCCAGACUCCUACGGGAGGCAGCAGUAGGGAAUCUUCGGCAAUGGACGAAAGUCUGACCGAGCAACGCCGCGUGAGUGAAGAAGGUUUUCGGAUCGUAAAACUCUGUUGUUAGAGAAGAACAAGUAGGAGAGUAACUGCUCUUGCCUUGACGGUAUCUAACCAGAAAGCCACGGCUAACUACGUGCCAGCCGCC